AUGGACGGGAUCGACGCGGAGCUCGCGCGCGCGCAGGAGGAGCGCCGGAGGCUGGAGGAGGCCCUGGCGGCCGGCGCCCCCAUGGCCGCCUCCUUCGUCACCUUCGACAAGGACCUCUACGGCGGGGGCGGCGGCUUCGCCGGCUACGACACCUCCAUCCCGGCCUCCGAGGACGACGACGCGCCCGAGGACGCCGAGCCAGCCGCCAACCCCGCCGCGCGCCGCCUCGCGUCCUACACGGGCCACGCCGUCGCCGCGGCCGCCGACGUCACCGGGUCGGGCGACGACGGCGGGCCCCCCUCCGCCAGCAAGCCCCGGCGCAUCAUCGACCGCGAGGACGACUACCGCCGCCGCCGCCUCGACCGCGGCCUCUCGCCGGAGCGCCACGACGCGUUCGCCGCGGGCGAGGCCACCCCGGCCCCCUCCGUCCGGACCUACGGCGACGCCAUGCGCGAAGCCAGCGCGCUGCAGGAGAGGGAGCGCACGCUGCGGGAGAUCGCCAGGAAGAAGGAGGGGGAGAGAGCCAAGGAGGAGAAGGCGGCGCCUCAGCCACCGCCAGCCGCGUCGACAAAACGGCGCAAUAGGUGGGAUCAGUCGCAGGAGGGCGAUGCUGCAGCUGCUGCCGGGGCCAAGAAGAAGGCCAGGACAGACUCAGAUUGGGACGCCCCUGAUGCAACUCCUGGAAUUGGGCGCUGGGACGCCACCCCUGGGCGUGUCGGGGAGGCGACGCCCUCUGUGAGGAGGAACCGGUGGGAUGAGACGCCGACUCCAGGGAGGAUGGCUGAUGCCGAUGCAACUCCGGCAGCUGGUGGCAUUACCCCAGGAGCAGGAGCCACCCCUUCUGGGGCAUGGGAUGCUACUCCUAAGCUCCCUGGUGGGCUUGCCACGCCAACGCCCAAGAAGCAGAGGUCGAGGUGGGAUGAGACUCCGGUUAGUAUGGGGAAUGCAACACCCAGUGGCACGGCAGCGACACCGUUUGGAGGAGAGAACCUUGCCACGCCGACACCUGGCCACCUUGCUGCUGUCCCGAUGACUCCGGAGUAUUACCAUCUCCUGCGGACGGAGCGGGACAUCGAGGAGCGAAACAGGCCUCUCACUGACGAGGAGCUUGACGCCAUGUUCCCGACGCAGGGAUACAAGAUUCUUGAGCCUCCAGCUUCGUACCAGCCCAUACGCACGCCUGCAAGGAAGCUGCUUGCUACACCAACGCCUCUGAGCACACCAUUGUAUGCUAUUCCCGAGGAGAAUCGUGGGCAGCAAUUUGAUGUGCCCAAGGACUUGGGUCCUGGGUUGCCACUCAUGAAGCCAGAGGAUAUAGAGUUCUUUGGGAAGUUGCUGAAUGAGGAUGACGAGGAGCAGCUGACGCCAGAGGAGCGGAAGGAGAGAAAAAUCAUGAAACUCCUGCUCAAGGUGAAGAACGGCACGCCCCCGCAGCGAAAGGCGUCACUUAAGCAGCUCACGGACAAAGCACGUGAAUUUGGUGCUGGCCCGCUGUUCAAUGGAAUCCUGCCAUUGCUCAUGCAGCCAACGCUUGAGGACCAGGAGCGGCAUCUCCUGGUGAAGGUCAUUGACAGGGUGCUGUAUAAGCUGGAUGAGCUGGUCCGUCCAUUUGUGCACAAGAUUCUUGUAGUUAUCGAGCCACUUUUGAUUGAUGAGGAUUACUACGCUCGUGCUGAGGGCAGGGAGAUUAUCUCAAAUCUUAGCAAAGCUGCUGGUCUUGCUACUAUGAUUGCCGCCAUGAGACCGGAUAUUGAUAACAUUGACGAGUAUGUGAGGAAUACAACUGCUAGGGCAUUCAGUGUGGUGGCUUCUGCUUUGGGUAUCCCCGCCCUCCUCCCAUUUUUGAAGGCUGUUUGUCAGAGUAAGAAGUCCUGGCAAGCUCGACACACUGGUAUCAAGAUUGUUCAGCAGAUUGCUAUUCUCAUGGGCUGUGCCGUUCUGCCUCACCUUAAGAACCUAGUUGAGAUCAUUGAGCAUGGUCUAACUGAUGAGAACCAGAAAGUGCGGACAAUCACUGCUCUCUCUCUUGCUGCACUUGCUGAAGCUGCUGCGCCCUAUGGUAUAGAAAGUUUUGAUAGUGUGUUGAGACCUCUCUGGAAGGGUACCAGAUCUCACAGUGGAAAGGUCCUUGCUGCCUUCUUGAAGGCUAUUGGUUUCAUCAUCCCUCUUAUGGAUGCUGAGUAUGCCAGUUUCUACACGAAGGGUGUGAUGCCAGUCUUAACCAGAGAAUUCAAGUCCCCAGAUGAAGAGAUGAAGAAGAUUGUCCUGAAGGUUGUGAAGCAGUGUGUCAGCACAGAGGGUGUACAGGCUGAUUAUAUCCGGAGGCAGUGUCUCAUCAGCACAGAGUGUUUAGAUCCUGGUUGUAUCCGGAAUCACACCGUCCUUUCAGCGUUCUUCAAACACUUCUGGGUUAGGAGAAUGGCUCUAGAUCGUAGGAACUAUAAGCAACUUGUGGAAACAACAGUAGAGAUGGCAAACAAGGUGGGAGUUACUGAUAUCGUUGGGAAGGUUGUUGAGGAUCUGAAAGAUGAGAGUGAGCCUUACAGGAGAAUGGUGAUGGAAACAAUUGAGAAGGUGGUGGCUAACUUGGGUGCCUCGGAUAUUGAUCCUCGCCUGGAGGAGCUGCUUAUUGAUGGCAUCCUGUAUGCUUUCCAGGAGCAGACAAGUGAUGAUGCAAAUGUCAUGCUUAAUGGCUUUGGAGCUGUUGUGAAUGCGCUCGGCCAGAGGGUCAAGCCUUACCUUCCGCAGAUAUGUGGUACCAUCAAGUGGCGGUUGAACAACAAGAGUGCAAAAGUUAGGCAGCAAGCUGCUGAUCUGAUCUCAAGGAUAGCUAUUGUGAUGAAGCAGUGCCAGGAGGAGCAGCUUAUGGGUCACCUGGGUGUUGUGCUGUAUGAGUACUUGGGGGAGGAGUAUCCUGAGGUGCUGGGUUCAAUUCUCGGAGCAUUGAAGGCUAUCGUGAAUGUUAUUGGCAUGACUAAGAUGACUCCUCCAAUCAAGGAUCUUCUUCCUCGUCUGACCCCCAUCUUGAAGAAUAGGCAUGAGAAGGUCCAAGAGAACUGCAUUGAUCUAGUUGGUAGGAUAGCUGAUCGCGGAGCGGAAUUCGUACCAGCUCGGGAGUGGAUGAGGAUUUGUUUUGAGCUGCUGGAAAUGUUGAAGGCUCACAAGAAGGGUAUCAGAAGAGCCACUGUGAACACAUUUGGUUAUAUUGCCAAGGCAAUCGGGCCUCAGGACGUGUUGGCCACUCUGUUGAACAACCUGAAGGUGCAGGAGCGACAAAACCGUGUUUGCACGACUGUAGCAAUUGCUAUUGUUGCUGAAACUUGCUCGCCGUUCACAGUUCUGCCCGCCCUCAUGAAUGAGUACCGGGUUCCGGAGCUCAAUGUCCAGAAUGGUGUUUUGAAAUCUCUCUCUUUCCUCUUUGAGUAUAUUGGUGAGAUGGGCAAAGAUUACAUAUACGCCGUCGCUCCCUUGCUCGAAGAUGCACUGAUGGACAGGGAUCUGGUUCACAGGCAGACGGCCGCGUCUGCCAUCAAGCAUAUGGCUCUAGGAGUUGCUGGCUUGGGCUGUGAGGAUGCUCUCGUCCAUUUGCUCAACUAUGUCUGGCCCAACAUAUUUGAGACAUCUCCCCAUCUCAUAAAUGCCGUCAUGGAGGCCAUCGAGGGGAUGCGGGUUGCUCUAGGCGCAGCCGUGGUUCUGAAUUAUUGCCUUCAGGGCCUCUUCCAUCCAGCAAGGAAAGUACGCGAAGUAUACUGGAAGAUCUACAACUCGCUGUAUAUCGGCGCGCAGGACGCACUCGUGGCUUCUUAUCCUGCACUAGGCGAUCUUGGAAACAAUGACAUCUUCAGCCGUCCAGAGCUAACCAUGUUCGUGUGA
rnacentral:rRNA from 1 species